rnacentral:rRNA from 1 species
GGUCCGAACAUAAAUGAGUAAGACAGAUUGAUAGCUCUUUCUCGAAUCUAUAGGUGGUGGUGCAUGGCCGUUCUUAGUUCGUGGAGUGAUUUGUCUGGUUAAUUCCGAUAACGAACGAGACUCAAAUAUAUUAAAUAGAUGCUUUCAGGAUUAUGAUGCUGAAGCUUGUAUAACCUUUAUGCAUUAAUACAGUAAUGUAUUAAUGUAUAUUUGCGUUUAUACAAGUUGAGUCGUACCUGUUUGUUUGUCCCAUUAUAAAGGGCACUAGCUUCUUAAAUGGACAAAUUGCGUCUAGCAAUAAUGAGAUUGAGCAAUAACAGGUCAGUGAUGCCCUUAGAUGUCCUGGGCUGCACGCGCGCCACAAUGAAAGUAUCAACGUGUAUUUCCUAGACCGAGAGGUCCGGGUAAACCGCUGAAUCACUUUCAUGUUUGGGAUUGUGAACUGAAACUGUUCACAUGAACCUGGAAUUCCCAGUAAGUGCGAGUCAUUAACUCGUAUUGAUUACGUCCCUGCCCUUUGUACACACCGCCCGUCGCUACUACCGAUUGAAUUAUUUAGUGAGGUCUCCGGACGUGAUCACCGUGACGCUUUAUGUGUUGUGGUUGAUCGCAGAAGUUGACCAAACUUGAUUAUUUAGAGGAAGUAAAAGUCGUAACAAGGUU